rnacentral:rRNA from 1 species
UAAGGAAUAUUGCGCAAUGGGCGAAAGCCUGACGCAGCCACGCCGCGUGAAGGAAGACACCCCUAUGGGGCGUAAACUUCUUUUAUAUGGGAAGAAGAUCCUGGUCGCCAGGAUUUGACGGUACCAUAUGAAUAAGCACCGGCUAACUCCGUGCCAGCAGCCGCGGUAAUACGGAGGGUGCAAGCGUUGUCCGGAUUCACUGGGUGUAAAGGGUGUGUAGGCGGAAUUGCAAGUCAGAGGUGAAAUCCUGCGGCUUAACCGUAGAAUUGCCUUUGAUACUGCUUUUCUUGAGUACCGGAGAGGCUACUAGAAUUCGUGGUGUAGCGGUGAAAUGCGUAGAUAUCACGAGGAAUACCAGAGGCGUAGGCGGGUAGCUGGACGGAUACUGACGCUGAGGCACGAAAGCGUGGGGAGCAAACAGGAUUAGAUACCCCUGUAGUCC